rnacentral:rRNA from 1 species
UACGGAGGGGGCUAGCGUUGUUCGGAAUUACUGGGCGUAAAGCGCACGUAGGCGGCUUUGUAAGUUAGAGGUGAAAGCCCAGAGCUCAACUCUGGAACUGCCUUUAAGACUGCAUCGCUUGAAUCAUGGAGAGGUCAGUGGAAUUCCGAGUGUAGAGGUGAAAUUCGUAGAUAUUCGGAAGAACACCGGUGGCGAAGGCGGCCAUCUGGACCGCAACUGACGCUGAGGCGCGAAAGCGUGGGGAGCAAACAGG